GUCAUUUUAGCUUAGUGGCAGAGCGUCUGCUCUGUGAGCAGAAGUCGUCAGUCCAGUCCUGGCAAGUGGCU
rnacentral:tRNA from 1 species